CAGUCGAGCGGUAGAGAGAAGCUUGCUUCUCUUGAGAGCGGCGGACGGGUGAGUAAUGCCUAGGAAUCUGCCUGGUAGUGGGGGAUAACGCUCGGAAACGGACGCUAAUACCGCAUACGUCCUACGGGAGAAAGCAGGGGACCUUCGGGCCUUGCGCUAUCAGAUGAGCCUAGGUCGGAUUAGCUAGUUGGUGAGGUAAUGGCUCACCAAGGCGACGAUCCGUAACUGGUCUGAGAGGAUGAUCAGUCACACUGGAACUGAGACACGGUCCAGACUCCUACGGGAGGCAGCAGUGGGGAAUAUUGGACAAUGGGCGAAAGCCUGAUCCAGCCAUGCCGCGUGUGUGAAGAAGGUCUUCGGAUUGUAAAGCACUUUAAGUUGGGAGGAAGGGCAGUAAAUUAAUACUUUGCUGUUUUGACGUUACCGACAGAAUAAGCACCGGCUAACUCUGUGCCAGCAGCCGCGGUAAUACAGAGGGUGCAAGCGUUAAUCGGAAUUACU
rnacentral:rRNA from 1 species